AUUGAACGCUGGCGGCAGGCCUAACACAUGCAAGUCGAGCGGAGCGGCGGACGGGUGAGUAAUGCCUAGGAAUCUGCCUGGUAGUGGGGGAUACCGUCCGGACACGGGCGCUAAUACCGCAUACUAUCAGAUGAGCCUAGGUUGGCUUAGCUAGUUGGUGGUGUAAAGGCCUACCAAGGCGGCGAUCCGUAACUGGUCUGAGAGGAUGAUCAGUCACACUGGAACGGAGACCCGGUCCAGACUCCUACGGGAGGCAGCAGUGGGGAAUAUUCGACAAUGGGCGAAAGCCUGAUCCAGCCAUGCCGCGUGUGUGAAGAAGGCCUUCGGGUUGUAAAGUACUUUCGGUCGGGAGGCGUUACCGACAGAAGAAGCCCCGGCUAACUCCGUGCCAGCAGCCGCGGUAAUAC
rnacentral:rRNA from 1 species